GUAAGGACGCGUAGGCGGGAAGCCAAGUCUGAUGUGAAAUCCUAUGGAGAACCAUAGAACUGCAUUGGAAACUGGUUACCUAGAGUAUGGGAGGGGGAGAUGGAAUUAGUGGUGUAGGGGUAAAAUCCGUAGAUAUCACUAGGAAUACCGAAAGCGAAGGCGAUCUCCUGGAACAAUACUGACGCUAAGGCGUGAAAGCGUGGGGAGCAAACGGGAUUAGAUACCCCGGUAGUCCACGCCCUAAACGAUGUUCACUAGUCGUCGGAAUGCUAGUCAUUUCGGUGAUGCACUUAACAGAUUAAGUGAACCGCCUGGGGAGUACGGUCGCAAGAUUAAAACUCAAAGGAAUAGACGGGGACCCGCACAAGUGGUGGAGCAUGUGGUUUAAUUCGAAGAUACGCGAAGAACCUUACCUAGCCUUGACAUUGAAGAAACACUUUAGAGAUAGAGUGGUGCCCUUCGGGGAAUCUGAAAACAGGUGCUGCACGGCUGUCGUCAGCUCGUGUCGUGAGAUGUUGGGUUAAGUCCCGCAACGAGCGCAACCCUCGUCCUUAGUUGCCAGCAGGUUAAGCUGGGCACUUUAAGGAGACUGCCUUCGCAAGGAGGAGGAAGGUGAGGACGACGUCAAGUCAUCAUGGCCCUUAUGGCUAGGGCUACACACGUGCUACAAUGGGGCGUACAGAGAGUUGCGAUACCGCGAGGUGGAGCCAAUCUCAUAAAGCGUCUCUCAGUUCGGAUUGGAGUCUGCAACUCGACUCCAUGAAGCUGGAAUCACUAGUAAUCGUAGAUCAGCAAUGCUACGGUGAAUACGUU
rnacentral:rRNA from 1 species